rnacentral:lncRNA from 1 species
UAUUUAUUCAUGCACAAAAAUCUAUAUUUAUUCAAAUAUAGUCAUGGUCGUCAUUUUCUGGAAUAUCAUCAUAAUUAUCUCUCCAGACCCCGAAUUCCGGCUUGAAAUUUUGUAACUCCAUUUCCUGUAGAACAAUUGGCUCCAAUCUCUCAUGUCAAGCAAUACAGCUCUCUUUAAAUGGGCACUUCUUGUUCAUAUAGCCUGUUCAUAGUGCAUUGGUAACACAGCUAUCAGUGAUUUUAUCCCAUGAAUUCUUUACCCAGUCACGAUCUCUUGCAGGCUAGACUUCAAAAGGUUCCACGCUGAUUUCUCUCGAUUCUAUUUUCAAUGUAGUCGUUGCUUAUUUAUGUUUAAUUGUAUAUUAAUAUUAUUAUUAUAUAAUUCAAUACGUCCGUCGUGUGUUGCAAACAUAUCUACUAAAUGCAUCCGUCUGGCUGUCGAUCUUAACUGGCGCUUAUUUUUGAAACAGGGUUUGUAUUACGAGCAUCCUGAAAAAUUAUGCUAUGGCUUAUUUUCUGGUUAUAUCUUAUUUUCGGGGAAACACGGC